CUUAAUAACGGCACGUUCUUUUAAGCUCUCCGUCCAUUUUAAUUUUUAAGUCCACUUAUUUUCCAUCGUCCAGUUUUAAUUUAUUUAUCCUUCUUCUUCUUUAUUAUUUUGACAUUUUAUUUCUAUCCAUUUCGUUCUUUUUUAUUCCAUAAAUCUUAUGUAUUUAUAUACAUAUUUUUUUACUUUACGUCGAUAAAUCAUAGGAACUAUAUUCCAUUAGUCUUUGAAAAUCAAAUGAACCUGAACUCAAUACAAAUGUUUUAAAACAUAAUAGUUGAAAUUCAUUGUUAAUAAUUUUUUGAUAUUCAUAAAAAAAUUAUUAACUUAUGUUCAUGAAAAUAAUACAUGAUAUAAUUCAAAAUUCAUAGAUCGCCAACAUUUUACCAUUCAAAAAUAUGUAUUAGUAUCAUCCAUUGACCAAGCUUAAAAAUACAAUUUUGGUUUUGGUUCUUAAUUUCUAUUAAAUAACAUUUGAUCGGUGCACCAUAUUUGGUUAAGUCAAAUUAGUUAGUGAUAGAAUUUUCUACACGUAACACUACCAUUUAUUGGUUCUUGGUUUAUUUGGUCAAACCAUUUAUUGGUUCUAUUCAUUAAAAAUGUCAAAUUGUGUUAUCCUUUUGAGCUUGAUAUUCACUAAAACGUCAGUGAACCUAUCCUCUUCUUUUUUGCACAAGGCGUCAACUAGACAUGACACCAAUGAGGAUGGGUACCAUUUUUCAAUCUCCGCAACUUGAGCUUUCAAUUCACCUUUAAUCCCUUUCGUUUUACCCAUCUGGUCCACACCUAAAAAUCCCCAAGCAUAUGCUGCCAUUUUCUUUGCUUGUAGUUGUCAAAAAAAUGCGAUCGACAGUUGGUAAAAUGACGUUUUCGUAUACAUUAUAAUGUGAAAGAAAAUGAUGUUUUAGGUCAGAAUUCAAUUUUUCUAAGUCCCACGUUUAAUGCCAACUAGGUGUAAGUGCCCGCGUCUACGGCUCAGCCGGUUGGGUCUUUUUCAUGCUCAAACCUAACUAAUCCAACCAAGUCCUUAAUACUGUUUCUUUGGUCUCACAUCAAACUAAUACUCCCUUUGUUCCUAAAAGAUCCAUGUUUUAGAAAAAAAAUUGUUUCAAAAAUAUAUAUUUUCAUAUUUUUAAUGCAUAAAUUAAAUAUAAAUUGUAAACUUCAAAAAACAUAAUUGUAUUUAUUAAAAUUUUAUUGGUGAAAACUUGUGGGAAAUAAUUGAUUAUAGAAAAUAAUGUAUUGAUAACUAAAAUUUGAUAUACUUUCUUAAUAAGUGUGAAAAUCCUAUAAUAUGAAUUUUUUAGAAACAGGAGUAGUAAAUAAAACCGUCAAAGUUUUAAAUUGAAGUCGGUUGUGUCAUUUGAUAGAUUUUUGUAGUUUUUCCUAGCUUGAAAUUACCUUAUAAUAUUUCUGACGAGAGAAGGUUGUUUCAGCAAGAAAAAAAAAACUAGGGGAAAAUGGCCCGUUCUACUCUAGCUAGAUCCGUGUAUAGCAUUUUAAGUCAACUAGGUAGUUACUUAUAGUUAUAUACAUAAUUGUUUAUAUAUUACCUUGGCAAGCCGGUUCCACUUCAUUUUUUGGAACUAUAUACAGAGAAGUCAAACUCCUUUUUAGGAUGAAUUUAUUCAAUAAUCAAAAUAUUUGUAGCAAAUGAGUUAUACAUAAUAUAAGCAAAUAAACAACCAGAACGCCAGUUGGGUCUAUACCGUUAGAAGAGUCGGACGUGACAUGAUAGUACGUAUCUAUUAAAUAACUUGUUCAAUCGGAUUACUAGCACAAAUAACAAAACAAAAACAAAGUAUAAUACUUUACUUUUUCAGAUUUCUGUCUAAGAAAACCGGUUAGAUUUAAAACUUGCACUCCGAUAUGAAAAUAAAACAACGGUGUAGUUUGAAAGCGGAGCACCACUCGAAGUCUCGAACACAUACCAAUAAGCAACUAGGCAUGCUUAAAUAUGAAAAGGACUACCGCAAGGGUUGAAAACUUUACUCAUUUCAAGACUCUUAGUUAGUAUCUAAAAUAAUACUACUAUAAUAGUGAUUAGUCACAUUAAUUUCUUUGUUCCUUUGUUGAUUUUUUAUAUAGAUAUUGACAUUUGUUUGUUUCCUUUUUUUCUUUACCAACUUGUGGGUUUACUUCAGGAUUAUAAGUUUCACCCACUAAGAAAACAUUGGCAGAUUAAUGUCGUUUUGCGAAAUGAUUUUCUGGACGCUUUCUAGGAAAAUAAUCGACUUCAAUAAUUAAAAACUCCGUGACGACUCUCGCUGUAUACGCAACAAUAAUUUAUCUUCUUGUUGAAUCAUUGUAGGCUCGCCCCAGACUAUCUAUAUUUGCAGAUAAAUUCCAUGUAAGAUAAAAUUACAUUUCUUUUCAUACAAAGAUAGUUACAUUUCUAAAUUCAAAUAAUAAUAAUAAAAUGUGUUUCAGUUCGUUUUAAUUUUCAGUUCAAAUAGACAAUUUUUAUAAAAAAAUCGUCUUAGACCAAUUAUUAAAUGAAGAGCUAAUUUUAUCUUAAUACACCCCUUCUUCAAUAAUAAUGUCACUUUUCAUUCUAAGUUAUCGUCUUCUGUUGCCAAUGCAAUAUUCUAAACUAAAUUAUAAUCUUAUUCAUAUUAGUUUAUCUUAAUAACUGAAAGAUAAUAUUACAGAGUUGUUCUUCUAGAAGUUUAGUAUAUAAAAUAAUAAGAAUUUUAAUAUAUUAAAUUUGUGUGAAAUUUUCUAAAACACUAAAUUAUAAAAUGGAUGACGACCGAAUUCAGCACACAAAUAAUUUACAGUUUACAUGCAUCAUACAAGACUAUCUCAAAAUAAUUCAAUUCAUAGUUUGUAUUGUCACUUGCUCUAAAUUUUGGUACCAGUGAGUCAAUGAGGCUGCUGCAGUAUUUUGUUUCUUAAAUUCGCACAAUUGUUUUUCACUAGCUAACACGGUUUAAACACUUCAAUAAAAAUUUCCAUGAUAUGUACAUCAUUUAUUAGAUUAUAUAACAAGGAAAAUAAAUAUUAAAAAUGAACAAGGAAAGACUAUCGUUUCGGCACUGACGCGGUUACAAUAAUCUGAAGCGAGACCAAAAUUGCAAAAGCAAAAUAAACAAGAGUCAAUGCAUUCACAUAACUGCCCAGACCUUUUUCGUCUAGGACCAGUUAAGUUCCACGUGGUCAACUACAAAAUUUUUAUAAUAUCGUGUGAAAAUGUGUUUUAUUAAAUUAUUAUCUACAAUCCGUAUUUCUUGAUUUGAAUGAUUUCAAUCUGUCGACAAAAAAAAAAAAAAAUGAUUUCAAUCUGUAGUGAAGGUCACAAUGAAAAUCAGUACACCCCAGCGACAGCCGACAAGUGACAACUUUUUUUCCGAGUGACAGCUUUUUUUUCGAGUGACAACUUUUUUAGGCUAAUAAUUGUAUAAAUAUCAGGGAUAAUUUGCUCAAAAACAAAGGAAAUGAAUGGAAUUAAUGAACUAACCAAAACGGAGAAAAAUGCAAAAAAGUUAGUGAGCUGGGGCAAAGUAAUUGUCGAGACUACCCUCUGUUAUAGCAAGGCUACUGUUUCAGAAUAUAGGGUAAGUACAAUUAGUAUCUUUAGAAAUCUGUCUACUUACAAUAAGAUUUGGCAAGGAUUUUGGAUUAGAUUUGAAAAUAUUUUUCUUUGAAAAAGAAUGGAUUGUGUUUUUCUGCAAGUGAAACCUUCUCCACUUAGUAUUUUACACAUUCGGUGCCCAAGCAAAAAAGAAUCCAACUAUAGGAUUUGCAUCAGUAACAUAUAAGCUCAGAGUCGCCGCCACCACAGCAAAACCAACAAAGCUCAGAUGUUGGCUUUAACAUGAACAUGGAAGUGAACAGGUGAAGAAGAGAAGAGGUAGACCGAGGAAAUAAGAAACGGAAACUGCAAAGCGUCACUGAUUUUUGUACAUGGACCUUCUUCUUUCACCGUUAGCCAACCUAGUGGAGAGUCUGGAGAUGGUGGUGGCUCCGGCGGAGGGGUAACCUUGCCUACUGUUAAGAAGAUGAGAGGACUGACUACUUGUUAUAGCCUUGGGUCAAACAUUGGAAACAACACAACUGAUGGAGCAAAAAAGAAGUCUUCUGAAGGGAGUGGGAUCGAUGGUGGGUGUGUAGAUUUCUAAAUCCAAGAGUUGACUUAGCUUUUCUAUGGUGAUAUGUAUAUAGUUAAGUUUACACAAGAAUGUAUUUUAUGUGAAGUCUUUGGUUACAGAUAACUUUAGCCUGGUUAAGUUUAUUUUUGGGUUGAUAAGAUUUCUUUUCUUGUAACGAAUGAGAGAUCACUCUUACAAAACCGGUUAUAAGAAAUUUUAGCAUCGUUUGCUUUCCCUUUUGGCUUGUUAAACUUUCUUGUAACCAAUGAUGUAAUAUAUUAUCAUGUAAUGAAAUUGUUUUAUCGUCAAGUUGUUGACUAUA